ACGGGAGGCAGCAGUGGGGAAUAUUGCACAAUGGGGGAAACCCUGAUGCAGCGACGCCGCGUGAGUGAAGAAGUAUUUCGGUAUGUAAAGCUCUAUCAGCAGGGAAGAUAAUGACGGUACCUGACUAAGAAGCACCGGCUAAAUACGUGCCAGCAGCCGCGGUACUACGUAUGGUGCAAGCGUUAUCCGGAUUUACUGGGUGUAAAGGGAGCGUAGACGGCAAUGCAAGUCUGAUGUGAAAUCUCCGGGCUCAACCCGGAAACUGCAUUGGAAACUGUAUAGCUAGAGUGCAGGAGAGGUAAGCGGAAUUCCUAGUGUAGCGGUGAAAUGCGUAGAUAUUAGGAGGAACACCAGUGGCGAAGGCGGCUUACUGGACUGUAACUGACGUUGAGGCUCGAAAGCGUGGGGAGCAAACAGGAUUAGAUACCCUGGUA
rnacentral:rRNA from 1 species